rnacentral:rRNA from 1 species
GUGAACGCUGGCGGUAGGCCUAACACCUGCAAGUCGAACGGCAGCACAGUAAGAGCUUGCUCUUACGGGUGGCGAGUGGCGUACGGGUGAGGAAUACAUCGGAAUCUACUUUUUCGUGGGGGAUAACGUAGGGAAACUUACGCUAAUACCGCAUACGACCUACGGGUGAAAGCAGGGGAUCUUCGGACCUUGCGCGAUUGAAUGAGCCGAUGUCGGAUUAGCUAGUUGGCGGGGUAAAGGCCCACCAAGGCGACGAUCCGUAGCUGGUCUGAGAGGAUGAUCAGCCACACUGGAACUGAGACACGGUCCAGACUCCUACGGGAGGCAGCAGUGGGGAAUAUUGGACAAUGGGCGCAAGCCUGAUCCAGCCAUACCGCGUGGGUGAAGAAGGCCUUCGGGUUGUAAAGCCCUUUUGUUGGGAAAGAAAAGCAGCAGGUUAAUACCCCGCUGUUCUGACGGUACCCAAAGAAUAAGCACCGGCUAACUUCGUG